UCCACAGCCUUGCCGAAUAGAAAUGGGCACUUAACCAGACCUUGGAGGUGUUUGAAAGCAACCUGACCAGGUUUUUGGAGGUUGGAUGGAUCUUUUGGAACAACGGUGUCAUGAAUUAUAUAAUAACAACAACUUCUAGUACUUUAACAUGCUUUCACUGUGAUCUUCUUUCUUGGAAAACAUUUUCAGCUACCAGACCAAUAGAGCAGGUACCGCUGUUGUCCUCGGGACAACAUAGACCAAAAUUGGCUCCUGUCUGUUGGUUGUGCUAUUGCCAGGGACACACUUGGGGUGCCUAGUCAUUGGGGAUUUAAUGCAAGGAAGUACAAAGAGAGAAGAAGGACAGACAGCAGCCACAGUUCUUUUGCCUCACGGAGAAAAGGAACAUUUUUAAGAUGCAACAUCAGUCUACAGUGGCUGUCCCUGCAGCAGCGGGUGUUGAGUGCUUUGUAUAUUUUCUGCAGUGGCCUCCAGUGUUUUUAAUCAUUCAGCAGGGGAAAAAAUUGAACACGCUCUUCCCGAUAUAUGUAUUUUUAAAAUGUACACAAAUAAUAACAGUGAAGAAACAAUGAGAUAAAGAAAUGUGAAUAGGUGUUCCGAUAUUUUCUUGUGAUGCCACAGCGGAUCCUCUCGUAAACUUCAUCUUGGACAUCCUUGCUUGGUUCGGGUGGACGCCACGGUUAGGGCGUCUCAGCUACGAUCUGCCUCUUUUGCGGCCCCUGCAGCUAAUAAGGAGCUUCCUUCUGUGUUAGGACUUCUCCUUACUGUGGUCUCUGUGUCUCUCCACUUUUGCCCUGCCCCCUUUGGCGCUGAUUCCGUCUGUACGUGUCACGUACAAACUUCAUAAGGAACAGACCCAGUGAGGCCCGUCAAUCACCGUUCUGUGUGGAGCUGUCUUGGCAGGGCUUUCUUGCCAGGCUCCAGGAGAACUGCUGACUGGCCUAGAAAACUCUGUGGGUUGUGUGUUUGGCCCUGGUCCAGCCAUCUACCAGCAUCAGUGUUAUAUUUUAGUAUGACUGGCAUAGGUGUGGAGGGGGCCAUGGGUGUGAUGGUG
rnacentral:lncRNA from 1 species